AAAAAAAAAAAGAAACGUCCCUUUUUCAGGACACUGUAUUUUAAAGAUAAUUUUGUAAAAAUCCAAAUAACUUUACAGAUCUUUAUUGUAAAACAAUGUUUUCCAUGCUUGUUCAAUGUACCAUAAAGAAUUAAUGAACAUGCACCUGUGGAACGGUCGUUAAGACACUAACAGCUUACAGACGGUAGGCAAUUAAGGUCACAGUUAUAAAAAUUUAGGACACUAAAGAGACCUUUCUACUGACUCUGAAAAACACAAAACAAAAGUGCCCAGGGUCCCUGCUCAUCUGCGUGAACGUGCCUUAGGCAUGCUGUAUGGAGGCAUGAGGACUGCAGAUGUGGCCAGGGCAAUAAAUUGCAAUGUCCGUACUGUGAGACGCCUAAGACAGUGCUACAGGGAGACAGGAAGGACUGCUGAUCAUCCUCGCAGUGGCAGACCAUGUGUAUCAACACCUGCACAGAAUCGGUACAUCCGAAUAUCACACCUGCGGGACAGGUACAGGAUGGCAACAACAACUGCCCGAGAUACACCAAGAACGCACAAUCCCUCCAUCAGUGCUCAGACUGCCUGCAAUAGGCUGAGAGAGGCUGGACUGAGGGCUUGUAGGCCUGUUGUAAGGCAGGAGUGAUGGUCGGACUCGCGUUUAUCGUCGAAGGAAUGAGCGUUACACUGAGGCCUGUACUCUGGAGCAGGGUCGAUUUGGAGGUCGAGGCUCCGUCAAGGUCUAGGGCAGUGUGUCACAGCAUCAUCGGACUGAGCUUGUUGUCAUUGCAGGCAAUCUCAACGCUGUGCAUUACAGGGAAGACAUCCUCCUCCCUCAUGUGGUACCCUUCCUGCAGGCUCAUCCUGACAUGACCCUCCAGCAUGACAAUGCCACCAGCCAUACUGCUCAUUCUGUGCAUGCCUUCCUGCAAGACAGGAAUUUCAGUGUUCUGCCAUGGCCAGCGAAGAGCCCGGAUCUCAAUCCCAUUGAGCACAUCUGGCACCUGUUGGAUCGGAGGGUGAUGGCUAGGGCCAUUCCCCCCAGAAAUGUCCGGGAACUUGCAAGCGCCUUGUUGGAAGAGUGGGGUCACAUCUCACAUCAAGAACUGGCAAAUCUGGUGCAGUCCAUGAGGAGGAGAUGCACUGCAGUACUUAAUGCAGCUGGUGGCCACACCAGAUACUGACUGUUAUUUUUGAUUUUGAUCCCCCCCUUUGUUCAGGGACACAUUAUUCCAUUUCUGUUAGUUACAUGUCUGUGAAACUUGUUCAAUUUAUGUCUUAGUUGUUGAAUCUUUUUAUGUUCAUACAAAUAUUUACACAUGUUAAGUUUGCUGAAAAUAAAAGCAGUUGAAAAUGAAAGGACGUUUCUUUUUUUGCUGAGUUUAUAUACAUACACACUGGCAUCCAAAGGUUUGGAAUAAUGUACAGAUUUUGUCUUAUGGAAAGAAAUUGGUACAUUUAUUCACCAAACUGGCAUUCAAAUGAUCACAAUGUAUAGUCAGGACAUUAAUAACUUGAAAAAUUACGAUUUCAAAGAGUUCUCAUUGAAAAAUACUCUUUGCAGAUCCUUGGCAUUAUAGCUGUCAGUUUGUCCAGAUAUUCAGGUGACAUUUCACCCCACGCUUCCUGUAGCACUUGCCAUUGAUGUGGCUGUCUUGUGGGGCACUUCUCAUGCACCUUGCAGUCUAGCUGAUCCCACAAAAUCUCAAUGGGGUUAAGAUCCAUAACACACUUUUCCAAUUAUCUGUUGUCCAAUGUCUGUGUUUCUUUGCCCACUCUAACCAUUUCUUUUUGUUUUUCUGCUUCAAAAGUGGCUUUUUCUUCUAAAUUCUUCCCAUAAGGCCUGCACCCCUGAGUCUUCUCUUUACUGUUGUACAUGAAACUGGUGUUGAGCGGGUAGAAUUCAAUGAAGCUGUCAGCUUCAAUAGAUAAUGACAGAUGCCUCCUCUGUGGGUUGGGGCGCUGUGUACGAGAACCGUCCUGCUUAAGGAGUUUGGACGGGUCAGCGGCUGAUUUGGCACAUAAACUGUCUGGAGAUGCUAGCGGUGCUGUUGGCUUUUAGGUUUUUCCUUCCAGUAAUUCAGAGCAGUCACGUACUCAUCCGGUCGGACAACAGGACGGUGGUGGCUUACAUCAACUGUCAGGGAGGGGUGUGCUCUCAUGCCAUGCUCAGGCUGGCACAUUCUUCUGUGGGCAUGGGACAAUGUGCUGUCUCUACAAGCAGUACAUGUUCCGGGCCGGUUGAAUCUGGGGGCAGGUCGCCUGUCCAGACAGGUUCUGAUGCCAGGAAAAUGGACAUUACACCCACAGAUUGUAGAAAAAAUCUGGAUGAGGUUCAGCAGAGCAGAAGUGGACCUGUUUGCAUCAAGCGAAACGUCACACAGUCCCCUCUGGUUUUCUCUCUCACCCCCGGCACCACUGGGCAUCGAUGCGCUGCCACGUUUCCACCAAUCAACCUGCUGCACUCUGUUCUGCAGAGGGUUCGGGGGGGAUCGCUUUCGGCUUUUGUUAGUGGUGCCGUAUUGGCCAUCUCAAAUAUGCUUUUCGACUCUGGUCUCUCUCCUGGACGGAAUGCCUUGGGUGAUUCCAGUCAGAAUGGACAUGUCUCAGGUGCGGGGCAUCAUUUGUUAACACAAUUAUGGAGACUGUGGGUUUGUACCCUCACCAGGGCCCUCUUUUAAAUGAUGGUUUAUCCCCCACGGUGGUUGAUACCAUCUUAAAUGCUAGAGCUCCAUCAUCAUGAAGAGUAUAUAUACGUGUAAAUGGCGUAUUUUCACCUCUUCAUGCGCAGCACACAGUGAGGAUCCAGUCCACUGCCCAGUUGGUUCAAUGCUGUACUUUUUUGCAAUAGUGUUUAGACCUUUUCGUCUCGUCCGCAUCCCUUUAUGGGAUUUAUCUGUGGUGUUAGAGUCACUCUCGGCUGCUCCGUCCGAGCCUUUAGCAUCAGUAUCUGAUAAAUUUCUUACUCUUAAAACGGCCCUGUUAAUAGCACUGGCAUCGUUGAUGUUUUGCAUGCCCUGUCGAUCAAUCCCUUGUGUAUGCAACUUGUGCCAGGGUUAUCUAAGCCCUGCUGGUUUAUGUUGACCUUAAUAGCCAAUAUUGAAAGUUAGAGCAGUUGUUUGUAUGCUUUGGUGGCCGCAACAGGGGUGUCUCAUUGGAUUGUGGAUGCAAUCUUGAGUGCUUACGAGAUGCAUUGUUUGCCUUCACCUCUGGGUAUUCGAGCUCAUUCUACGAAGAGCAUGGCAUCCUCAUGGGCAAUGGCAAGAGGUGCGUCCUUGGAAGACAUUUGUAUGGCAGCAGGAUGGUCCUGUCCACAUACUUUUGUCAGAUUUUAUAACUUCGACGAGUGUUUGUCUCCAGCUUCCCAAGUUCUCUCUGUUGGAUCAGGAGUAAGUUUUUGAGAUUUCUAUUUCUUUAGCUCAUUUGUGUGAUGCUGUAAGCUUGCCAUAUGGGCUUAGAGAGUUGGCAGCUACUGUUUGCAUGGUGUGAUGGUAUCUCGUCCCAACUGCGUCAUUAUGCAAUGUCAGUGUUUCCUUGAAAGGGAACGUCUCAUUUAUGAAUGUAACCUUGGUUCCCUGAGAGGGAACGAGACGUUGCGUAGCUGGCCAUACUCUCUAAUUGCUGCACAGGCUUGUUGUGCCUGUUGCAGAAAAUCUGGCGAAAUGGCACAAAAGCAGCCACCUAUAUGGGUUCCGUGAUGCAGCUCCCUAUGGGCGUCACUUCAGUGCAAUCAGCCAAUAUAUUUUAUACAACUGUAUACAAUUGCAUGAUUGUAUACAGGCUUCAGACCACGUGACUCACUGACGUAGUGAUGUGCGUCAUUACGCAACGUCUCGUUUCCUCUUAGGGAAAUUUAAGACUUUAAGACCUUUUUCAAGACCUGAACAAAUAAAAUUAAUACUGUUAUUCUUACAUAAACAGGCAGGGGCACACAUUCAACAUGGACUUAACAUUGCUUAUCAGUAAAACAGAGUAGACUAUAUGCAAGUUUAAAAUACUCAAGACAUGUUUUCCACAUAUAUAUCACAUUAAAAUUGGUUUAUGUACCAUUAUAUAAAUAAAUACAAAUUAGAAGUCGACUGAUAUUGGAUUGUGCUGAUUCGAUAAUGUGUUGAAAGAAAGCCAGUAAGUUUGCCAAUAGUUUUUAAAAUUGGUAGCCUAUAUUAAAUGUUGUUCUUCCUGUGAUAGGGAGGGCCAGACAGAGGCUAAAAGAGUCCAUAUUGAAUUAAUAAAACAACAGUCACGUUUUUACUUUGAAGGAUGCAGAGCAUUUAUUUAAUUAAACUGUAUUAUUUUCAAGUUUGAUAAUCACAUUAGGUCAUAUCACGAUUUCUGUCUUUCCACCCCCAAAUUUAAGACCUCUUUAAAUAAAAAUUAAGACUGUUGUAUCAUUUAAGAUAUUUAAGACUUUUUAUGACCUCAAAUUUUGGAAAACUGAAUUUAAGACAUUUUAAGGAUCUGCUGGAACCCUGACGGUAUAUAACCAAAUUUCACAAAUACAUUAACAUUAAUGUGAAUUUUCCAAACAAAAAUAAAAAUAAAAAUAAUAAUAAUAAUAAUAAUUAUAUAUAUAUAUAUAUUAUAUAUAUCAGUUGAAGUCUUAAGUUUACAUACACCUUAGCCAAAUACAUUUAAACUCAGUUUUACACAAUUCCUAACAUUUAAUCGUAGAAAACUUUCCCUGUCUUAGGUCAGUUAGGAUCACUACUUUAUUUUAAGAAAUAAAAGUAGAGAGAAUGAUUUAUUUCAGCUUUUAUUUCUUUCAUCAUAUUCCCAGUGGGUCAGAAG